GCGGCGGACGGGUGAGUAAUGCCUAGGAAUCUGCCUGGUAGUGGGGGACAACGUCUCGAAAGGGACGCUAAUACCGCAUACGUUCUACGGGAGAAAGCAGGGGACCUUCGGGCCUUGCACUAUCAGAUGAGCCUAGGUCGGAUUAGCUAGUUGGUGAGGUAAUGGCUCACCAAGGCGACGAUCCGUAACUGGUCUGAGAGGAUGAUCAGUCACACUGGAACUGAGACACGGUCCAGACUCCUACGGGAGGCAGCAGUGGGGAAUAUUGGACAAUGGGCGAAAGCCUGAUCCAGCCAUGCCGCGUGUGUGAAGAAGGUCUUCGGAUUGUAAAGCACUUUAAGUUGGGAGGAAGGGCAGUAAACGAAUACCUUGCUGUUUUGACGUUACCGACAGAAUAAGCACCGGCUAACUCUGUGCCAGCAGCCGCGGUAAUACAGAGGGUGCAAGCGUUAAUCGGAAUUACUGGGCGUAGAGCGCGCGUAGGUGGUUUGUUAAGUUGAAUGUGAAAUCCCCGGGCUCAACCUGGGAACUGCAUCCAAAACUGGCAAGCUAGAGUAGGGCAGAGGGUGGUGGAAUUUCCUGUGUAGCGGUGAAAUGCGUAGAUAUAGGAAGGAACACCAGUGGCGAAGGCGACCACCUG
rnacentral:rRNA from 1 species